GUAGGGAAGUGCUUAAUAGACGGCAAAAACGUGAUUAAACAUUCUUUAAUGAAUGUUUUUUGACUAAUUGCUGAGGAAAGUCCACCCACUAUAAAAGGCCACUUGUGUUAUGCAAGAUGGAGAAAUCCAUGGCAAUGGCUAAUAAACGACACGGCCAUACAUCGGGAUGAAAAUGGCGAAGUUUGCUGUGAAGCAAAUGAGUUAACCCGUUGACUAUGUUGUAUGGAAUCGGUGAAACGGCGAAACCUGGCUGGUGCAAGUACCGUUGUGUACGCUUAGUCAAAUAUUAAGACAGACUGUUCAUUAAGCGAAUGCGAACUUUCAGUUCGCAGGCAAGUGAAGUCUGACAGAAGGUGGCUUACAGCUUCUCUAC
rnacentral:RNase_P_RNA from 1 species